AUUGAACGCUGGCGGCAUGCCUUACACAUGCAAGUCGAACGGUAACGGGCCUUCGGGUGCCGACGAGUGGCGAACGGGUGAGUAAUGUAUCGGAACGUACCUUUCAGUGGGGGAUAACGUAGCGAAAGUUACGCUAAUACCGCAUAUUCUGUGAGCAGGAAAGCAGGGGAUCGCAAGACCUUGCGCUGAUUGAGCGGCCGAUGUCAGGUUAGCUAGUUGGUGAGGUAAAGGCUCACCAAGGCGACGAUCUGUAGCGGGUCUGAGAGGAUGAUCCGCCACACUGGAACUGAGACACGGUCCAGACUCCUACGGGAGGCAGCAGUGGGGAAUUUUGGACAAUGGGGGCAACCCUGAUCCAGCCAUGCCGCGUGAGUGAAGAAGGCCUUCGGGUUGUAAAGCUCUUUCGGCCGGGAAGAAAUCGUAUGGGCUAAUACCCUGUGCGGAUGACGGUACCGGCAUAAGAAGCACCGGCUAACUACGUGCCAGCAGCCGCAGUAACAC
rnacentral:rRNA from 1 species